rnacentral:lncRNA from 1 species
AAAAACAGCAGGGGUUUUUGUAAGUGGUCCUUCUGAGAACAAUGACACUGAGGCGCGCGUGCAUGUGAAGACUCCAUUUUAUUCUUUCAGUGUUUGAAUGAACACAACGUCGCCCGGUUGGAAAAUGAUCGCUAUUUUACGAGAAAAAUUGCAUAAAAAUGUAUUUUAAACAGCGUUUGACAUGCUUCGAAGUACGGUAAUGGAAUAUUUUUAAAUUUUUUGUCACGAAAUGCGCCGGCGCGUCACCCUUCGGAUAGUGACUUGAACGCACGAACAAAACGGAGCUAUUUGGAUAUAACUAUGGAUUAUUUCGAACCAAAACAACAUUUGUUGUUGAAGUGGAAGUCCUGGAUGUGCAUUCUGACGAAGAACAGCAAAGGUCCUGUGGAAAAACAUAAAAUCUACUUAAAUGAGACAAAAUGCUGUUGCUCGUAGGGAGCGUUUCAAGAGACAGGUGAGCUGGGGGACUUAGCCAGCAACCCCUGGAAGGUAUCUCCGAUGAGGACCAUUUGGACAGUUCAGAUGGGGGACCGUUCCAAUCCUCAUUUGGUACGGCACAUUCAUUCAACAUUUGCCAUCCCCGGACUGCAGGGAAUAUGUAAUGUCACCAGUCAUCUCUUGCACUCCCAUAAUUAAAAUGAUGUGAUGAACUCAACUGUUGAAGAAACAAUGUUCUCUAAUACAGCAACAUAAUCAUCUUCUAGAGGCAGAUGAUCACCAUAGCUCGGAGGGGAUAAGAUGAGAUGAAGGUCAGCCCGCUACAUCUGCAGCAGUCAGAAUGGAAGAUUGUGUCACUAAUCCGGGCCGGAGGACCCAGAAGCUGGGCAUGCAUGAGAAACUGGCCAUGGAAUUUCAUGAGCGCAAACUAAUGUAUUUAAAACAAAAGCAUGACAUGAAGAUGCAAAUCCCUCAUGUUGAGUUGGCUAUGAAGGAGGAGGCGAGAAACAUGAAGCAGCAGCAGUACCAAUGUUCUUCAUGUUGAGUUGGCUAUGAAGGAGGAGGCGAGAAACAUGAAGCAGCAGCAGUACCAAUGUUCUUCUUGAACCAGCACUAGUUCGGGUUCCCAAUGUUUCCAUUUGUGAAUAAGAUUUUGUUUUGUUACCAAU